rnacentral:lncRNA from 1 species
UAGCUACAAAACACAUUAAAAAGAUAUAUAUAUAUACACACCUAUGUAUAUAUAUAUUUUUUCUCCAUAUUAACAUUUCCAGGUGGUGUUCGUUUUGAUUCUUGUGGAAGUAUCAAGAAACCAACUUUGUAGUGUACUAAAGAUGGAUAGAGCAGAUAAGAUCAUGGAAAGCACGAGUUUUCAUUUUCAGAAAGACCAGGAAGGAAUACUGUUCUCCUCAAAUAAAGUAGCAGUUAUGCUAUGCCAGAGUGGAGAACGUUGCUUCUUGCCAGG